CUCGAGAGCCCUCCUCACCAUGACGUGGCACUUCCAUCUCCGACACGCACCGUGACUCUUUCAUCUUCCCAAAGAGAAAACCCUAAUUCUCUCUCUCUCUAUCUCUCUCUCUCUCUCUCUCGCAUUGCGUUGCAGAAUCAAAUUGAGAAUUCCAAUUCAAUUUCCGAUUUCCGAUUUCCAAUUUCUAUGAGCUGAACCCUAGAAAACAUGGCGGAGACGAGUCCAUCGAGCCAGUCGCGGUCGCUGACGGAGACGGUGAACGGUUCGCACAAGUUCGUGAUCCAAGGCUACUCGUUGGCGAAAGGCAUGGGAGUAGGGAAGCACAUCGCGAGCGACAAUUUCACCGUCGGAGGAUACCAGUGGGCGAUAUAUUUCUAUCCCGACGGGAAAAACCCCGAGGACAAUUCCGCCUACGUUUCGGUCUUCAUCGCUCUCGCCAGCGAAGGCACCGACGUCCGAGCCUUGUUCGAAUUAACCCUAGUCGAUCAAAGCGGCAAAGGAAAACACAAAGUCCAUAGCCAUUUCGAUCGCGCACUCGAAAGCGGUCCAUACACUCUCAAAUAUCGCGGUAGCAUGUGGGGAUACAAGAGGUUUUUUAGACGAAAUUUGCUUGAGAGCUCAGAUUAUUUGAAGGAUGAUUGCUUGAAAAUAAAUUGUACUGUUGGAGUAGUGGUUUCGGCCACGGAUUGUCCGCGAUUACAUUCAAUUAGGGUUCCAGAGUCCGAUAUUGGAGCACAUUUUGGUGUACUAUUAGAAAAUAUGGAAGCUUCCGAUAUUACUUUCGAUGUGGCAGGGCAAAAGUUCCGUGCUCAUAAGCUAGUACUCGCAGCUCGUUCCCCUUUGUUUCGAUCUGAAUUUUUCGAUGGCUUGGAGGAAGAUAAGCAGGAGAUUGCAGUAACCGACCUCGAACCUAAGGUUUUUAAGGCCAUGCUGCAUUUUAUAUACAGAGAUUCCCUUACAGAAGAAGUGGAGUCUGUGUCGUCAAGCUCGUCUUGUACGUCCCCGGUAUCAGACACGUUGACGGCUAAGUUGUUAGCAGCAGCCGAUCGGUAUGGUUUGGAGAGGCUUAGAAUGAUGUGUGAGUCUCACCUCUGCAAGGAUAUAUCAGUCAAUUCCGUUGCUGAAAUUCUUGCCUUAGCUGACCGCUAUCACGCCACCGAAUUAAAAGAAGUUUGCCUUAGAUUUGCUUCUGAGAACCUUGCAGCUGUGAUGCGAUCAGAUGGUUUCCAGUAUCUAAAGGAAAAUUGCCCUGCACUUCAGUCAGAGCUUCUGAAGACAAUUGCAGGUUGUGAAGAGGAUUGCAGCAGUGGAGGGGCAAAAUCUCGGAGUGUUUGGGCCCAACUUUCAGACGGUGGUGAUACCAAUGGCAGGAGAGUUAGGCAAAGAAGCUGAUGUCUGAUAGUUGUAUUGUAAAUGCAGGUGAUAAUGUUGAAAAAAAUGCGAAAGAGAACAGAUACGUUAUAUAUUGUCAAAAUCUGCUAUGUUUUCAUGGAUAAUACUUGCCCAAAAGCAGUAAAAACUAGAUACUAAAUUGUAGAGUUUUGCUUGUGUAAAGGGUGUUUUUGUGUUGGUGCAA